rnacentral:rRNA from 1 species
UUGGAGGGCAAGUCUGGUGCCAGCAGCCGCGGUAAUUCCAGCUCCAAUAGCGUAUAUUAAAGUUGUUGCAGUUAAAAAGCUCGUAGUUGAAUUUCGGGAUCAGACUGUCGGUCGUGCCUCGGUACGCACUGGCAUUAUUGGUUCCUACCUUCUGAAGAACCGCGAUGUCAUUAAUUUGGUGUCGCGGGGAAUCAGGACUGUUACUUUGAAAAAAUUAGAGUGUUUAAAGCAGGCUUACGCUUGAAUACAUUAGCAUGGAAUAAUGAAA